GCCGGGCGUGGUGGUGCGUGCCUAUAAUCCCAGCUACAUGGAGGCUGAGGCAGAAGAAUGGCUUGAACCCAGGAGGCAGCGGUGACAGUGAGCUGAGAUUGCACCACUGCACUCCAGCCUGGGUGACAGGGCAAGACUCUGUCUCAA
rfam:Nomascus leucogenys chromosome 8, whole genome shotgun sequence.